UACGUAGGUGGCAAGCGUUGUCCGGAUUUACUGGGCGUAAAGAGCGCGCAGGCGGUCGUUCAAGUCGCGUGUGAAAGCCCCCGGCUCAACUGGGGAGGGUCACGCGAUACUGAUCGACUGGAAGGCAGGAGAGGGUAGCGGAAUUCCCGGUGUAGUGGUGGAAUGCGUAGAUAUCGGGAGGAACACCAGUGGCGAAGGCGGCUACCUGGACCGGUUCUGACACUGAGGAGCGAAAGCGUGGGGAGCGAUCCGG
rnacentral:rRNA from 1 species